rnacentral:rRNA from 1 species
AAUAGAUACCCGGGUAGUCUACGCCGUAAACGAUGUCUACUAGCCGUUGGGGCCUUUGAGGCUUUAGUGGCGCAGCUAACGCGAUAAGUAGACCGCCUGGGGAGUACGGUCGCAAGACUAAAACUCAAAUGAAUUGACGGGGGCCCGCACAAGCGGUGGAGCAUGUGGUUUAAUUCGAUGCAACGCGAAGAACCCUACCUGGUCUUGACAUAGUAAGAACUUUCCAGAGAUGGAUUGGUGCCUUCGGGCACUUACAUACAGGUGCUGCACGGCUGUCGUCAGCUCGUGUCGUGAGAUGUUGGGUUAAGUCCCGCAACGAGCGCAACCCUUUUCCUUAUUUGCCAGCGGGUUAAGCCGGGAACUUUAAGGAUACUGCCAGUGACAAACUGGAGGAAGGCGGGGACGACGUCAAGUCAUCAUGGCCCUUACGACCAGGGCUACACACGUGCUACAAUGGUCGGUACAAAGGGUUGCUACCUAGCGAUAGGAUGCUAAUCUCAAAAAGCCGAUCGUAGUCCGGAUUGGAGUCUGCAACUCGACUCC